rnacentral:lncRNA from 1 species
CUCGAUGCCACGUAGCUAAAUCUCGAGCCUCGUAAGAGGUAGCAAAUCAAACAAUGUAUAACCUCCAUGUGACAAGUAUAUUAACACCACUGAUCACCCCCAUCUGAUUCAUGCCGUAGGUAUGGAAGUUACUUAGUCCUGAACUCAGCGUGGUGCAAUGGUAUCGUCGCUCCCACUACACUUGUACAGCCCUCAAGCAGCGGCGCCACCACUCCGGUCGGAGCUCCGAAGGCUUCUAACCGGCCUCCUCUGCUGCUCCAACGUCCAGCAUUGCACUCCCUGUCGAGAGUCCGGAUGAGUGCCACCGCGACGAUCUCUUCUCUUGUAUGCGUCGGUGGCUGUCUUGCGACUGCUUGCUUCGAUAACCUGCUCCUGUGGUCGAUUCUUCCCUUUCCCAUCUCGAUCGGCAACAACCACAGCUUCCUCGCCCUCUUCUCCUCCUCCGAUUUCGGUCGAUCUUUAUCACUGCAGGAUCACAGGAGGCGAUUCCCACCGUUACUUUUUCAGCGGUGGUCGUUUUCCCUGUAGCACUUCCCUGGCGAACGGUAGCUGUCUUCCCCUGCUGCCGCAACAGUCUCUACCCUCAUCCUCCCGAUGAGCAGCUUCACCGCUCCUUAAAGACCGGCGGUCUACCCUUCGUCGUCACCGACAAGAGCGCCGGCCACGCCGUCAACUGCCAUGGGUUCCCAGAGUAUCGCCUCGGCGACUCCUUCCCCUGAACUCUUUCUCCGCCUCGUCGAGUUGCAUCCGACCCGACGUGCACUGUGGCAUUUGAAGCCGCAGCCACUCACAGAACUGCAAGCCGCAACCUCUCACAGAACUGUUGCGGUUAUGAGCUUCUCUUCUCCGUGGGCAAUGCUCCCAAAGGUGCACAGUCGAAGCCUCAGUUUCUACCGCCGACUGCUGCUCCCUUACCAACCGAAGUCUUUCGCUAAAAACUCUGCCGCCCUUCCGGCCACCAAACUCGGCUGCAAGCUGUGAUCUGCACCGAUCACAGCCGUCGUCGCUGCCUUGCCGUCAACUGCCACAAGCAUUACUGCAACAAUCUCCAACACUACAGAUUUCUCCAGCAUAACUGCAGAAAUCUCUCCUGCAUUACUGCAGAAAUCACUGCAACUCUCUCCAGUAUCGCUGCAUAUUUCUCCAGCAUCGUUGUAAAAAUCUCCCUGCAGAAAUCUCUCCUGCAUCGCUGCAGAAAUCUCUCGAGUGGCCAUCAGUUACACAAAUCACCAAGCCUACUGCGUACUCUUCCGUUGCAACUCCUAGUGAUUUGUGGCAUUAUCAUCUUAGUCAUUCCUAAACAGUAGCAUUAUAUCCCAUUGUGAUACUUAUUUAAGCAAUAAAAGUCAUAGACUCUUUUCCA